rnacentral:lncRNA from 1 species
AGCUCCAGCAAGCAGCAGAUCUCAGAAGCUUUGGCAAUGUGGCUCUGUCUUUAAAGUCAAGAGGCUAAGGUCAUAAAAUGCUGAUUCGUGGGAUAAUCGAAAGGAAACCUGGUAGGACAGACAGUGUUUGAUAGACCUUGGCCCCCACUUGAACCCUGCAGUCUGCUCUUCCUUGGAAAGAAUCCCAUUUCAGACAGACACUUCUGGCAGAAGGUGCUGACAGACGUGGGAUGAGGCCGGAACUCGUGUCCUGUGACAAUCACCAGCUUUCUGAGGCCUACUCAUGUGUCUGUGCAGAAUGGCCACUUCUGGAUUCUGUUUUCAAUAAACAACAGUGAUCCCAAAUGU